AUCAAAAUAAAAAGUGUCUUUGCGUUGGUUUCCUUGCCAAUAAUAGUCAUGUUUAUAUUAUAGUCACAACAAUAAUAAUCAAAAAACCGUUUUUACGAAACAGAUUUUGUUCGGUUAGGUAUAAUAUUAUAUAUUGAUUAAAACAUCUUCCCACAUCGCCGAGAUCCCAGUUACCAAUCAUGACUACUCACUCAUCCAAAACACUCUUCAGAAAAUUUGUUUUAGAGUUCCCUCAUACUCUAUUCGCAACCAGUCUCCGUUCUCUUUACUUAGCCACUCCACUUCCUUCGAUUAUAACAACCCAUUACACCGCUUCCUCAAAAAUUAUAAUCCUCGAUCAAUUUAUUUUGUAUUUAUUUCU